rnacentral:rRNA from 1 species
UAGUUGGUGGGUAAAGGCCUACCAAGACAAUGAUGCAUAGCCGAGUUGAGAGACUGAUCGGCCACAUUGGGACUGAGACACGGCCCAAACUCCUACGGGAGGCUGCAGUAGGGAAUCUUCCACAAUGGGCGAAAGCCUGAUGGAGCAACGCCGCGUGUGUGAUGAAGGCUUUCGGGUCGUAAAGCACUGUUGUAUGGGAAGAAAAGUUAAGGUAGGGAAUGACCUUAGCCUGACGGUACCAUACCAGAAAGGGACGGCUAAAUACGUGCCAGCAGCCGCGGUAAUACGUAUGUCCCGAGCGUUAUCCGGAUUUAUUGGGCGUAAAGCGAGCGCAGACGGUUGGUUAAGUCUGAUGUGAAAGCCCGGAGCUCAACUCCGGAAAGGCAUUGGAAACUGGUUAACUUGAGUGCAGUAGAGGUAAGUGGAACUCCAUGUGUAGCGGUGGAAUGCGUAGAUAUAUGGAAGAACACCAGCGGCGAAGGCGGCUUACUGGACUGUAACUGACGUUGAGGCUCGAAAGUGUGGGUAGCAAACAGGAUUAGAUACCCUGGUAGUCCACACCGUAAACGAUGAACACUAGGUGUUAGGAGGUUUCCGCCUCUUAGUGCCGAAGCUAACGCAUUAAGUGUUCCGCCUGGGGAGUACGACCGCAAGGUUGAAACUCAAAGGAAUUGACGGGGACCCGCACAAGCGGUGGAGCAUGUGGUUUAAUUCGAAGCAACGCGAAGAACCUUACCAGGUCUUGACAUCCUUUGAAGCUUUUAGAAAUAGAAGUGUUCUCUUCGGAGACAAAGUGACAGGUGGUGCAUGGUCGUCGUCAGCUCGUGUCGUGAGAUGUUGGGUUAAGUCCCGCAACGAGCGCAACCCUUAUUGUUAGUUGCCAGCAUUCAGAUGGGCACUCUAGCGAGACUGCCGGUGACAAACCGGAGGAAGGCGGGGACGACGUCAGAUCAUCAUGCCCCUUAUGACCUGGGCUACACACGUGCUACAAUGGCGUAUACAACGAGUUGCCAACCUGCGAAGGUGAGCUAAUCUCUUAAAGUACGUCUCAGUUCGGACUGCAGUCUGCAACUCGACUGCACGAAGUCGGAAUCGCUAGUAAUCGCGGAUCAGCACGCCGCGGUGAAUACGUUCCCGGGUCUUGUACACACCGCCCGUCACACCAUGGAAGUUUGUAAUGCCCAAAGCCGGUGGCCUAACCGUAAGGAGGGAACCGUCUAAGG